GAUGAACGCUGGCGGCGUGCCUAAUACAUGCAAGUCGAGCGAACGGACGAGAAGCUUGCUUCUCUGAUGUUAGCGGCGGACGGGUGAGUAACACGUGGAUAACCUACCUAUAAGACUGGGAUAACUUCGGGAAACCGGAGCUAAUACCGGCUAAUAUUUUGAACCGCAUGGUUCAAAAGUGAAAGACGGUCUUGCUGUCACUUAUAGAUGGAUCCGCGCUGCAUUAGCUAGUUGGUAAGGUAACGGCUUACCAAGGCAACGAUGCAUAGCCGACCUGAGAGGGUGAUCGGCCACACUGGAACGGAGACACGGUCCAGACUCCUACGGGAGGCAGCAGUAGGGAAUCUUCCGCAAUGGGCGAAAGCCUGACGGAGCAACGCCGCGUGAGUGAUGAAGGUCUUCGGAUCGUAAAACUCUGUUAUUAGGGAAGAACAUAUGUGUAAGUAACUGUGCACAUCUUGACGGUACCUAAUCAGAAAGCCACGGCUAACUACGUG
rnacentral:rRNA from 1 species